CCCUCCGAAGUUUCCCUCAGGAUAGCUGGCGCUUGUUGCCGAGACCAGUCACACCUGGUAAAGCGAAUGAUUAGAGGCAUUGGGGUCGAAACGACCUCAACCUAUUCUCAAACUUUCAAUGGGUGUGUCGGAGGCCUUCUGGUCUGAGGCUUCCGGAAGCGAUGAGAGUGCCAAGUGGCCACUUUUGGUAAGCAGUUUGGGACCCCUAAAAUGUCUGUGGG
rnacentral:rRNA from 1 species